GAUGAAGAACGCAGCGAAAUGCGAUAAGUAGUGUGAAUUGCAGAAUUCAGUGAAUCAUCGAAUCUUUGAACGCACAUUGCGCCCCUUGGUAUUCCAUGGGGCAUGCCUGUUCGAGCGUCAUUUGUACCCUCAAGCUUUGCUUGGUGUUGGGUGUUUGUCCUCUCCUUUGCGUUUGGACUCGCCUUAAAGCAAUUGGCAGCCAGUGUUUUGGUAUUGAAGCGCAGCACAAUUUGCGAUUCUAACCGACUACACUUGCGUCCAUAAGCCUUUUUUAACUUUUGACCUCGAAUCAGGUAGGGAUACCCGCUGAACUUAAGCAUAUCAAUAAGCGGAGGA
rnacentral:misc_RNA from 1 species